UACGUAGGGGGCAAGCGUUGUCCGGAUUUAUUGGGCGUAAAGAGCGUGUAGGCGGCCAAGCAGGUCCGCUGUGAAAACUCGAGGCUCAACCUCGAGACGUCGGUGGAAACCGUUUGGCUAGAGUCCGGAAGAGGAGAGUGGAAUUCCCGGUGUAGCGGUGAAAUGCGCAGAUAUCAGGAGGAACACCCGUAGCGAAGGCGGCACUCUGGGCCGAUACUGACACUGAGGAGCGAAAGCGUGGGGAGCGAACAGG
rnacentral:rRNA from 1 species